AUCUGGUCAUGGCAAACGCA
rnacentral:siRNA from 1 species